rnacentral:rRNA from 1 species
UAGGGAAUCUUCCACAAUGGACGCAAGUCUGAUGGAGCAACGCCGCGUGAGUGAAGAAGGUUUUCGGACCGUAAAGCUCUGUUGUUGGUGAAGAAGGAUAGAGGUAGUAACUGGCCUUUAUUUGACGGUAAUCAACCAGAAAGUCACGGCUAACUACGUGCCAGCAACCGCGGUAAUACGUAGGUGGCAAGCGUUGUCCGGAUUUAUUGGGCGUAAAAGCGAGCGCAGGCGGAAGAAUAAGUCUGAUGUGAAAGCCCUCGGCUUAACCGAGGAAUUGCAUCGGAAACUGUUUUCUUGAGUGCAGAAGAGGAGAGUAGAACUCCAUGUGUAGCGGUGGAAUGCGUAGAUAUAUGGAAGAAUACCAGUGGCGAAGGCGGCUCUCUGGUCUGCAAACUGACGCUGAGGCUCGAAAAGCAUGGGUAGCGAACAGGAUUAGAUACCCUGGUAGUCCAUGCCGUAAAACGAUGAGUGCUAAGUGUUGGGAGGCUUCCGCCUCUCAGUGCUGCAGCUAACGCAUUAAGCACUCCGCCUGGGGGAGUACGACCGC